rnacentral:misc_RNA from 1 species
CAACCCUCAAGCUUUGCUUGGUAUUGGGCAUCACCGUCCUAGGUGUGCCUCAAAGUCAUUGGCGGUGCCACCUGGCUUCUAGCGUAGUAAUACUUUUCGCUAUGGAGUUUAGGUGAGUGCUUGCCACCAACCCCUAAUUUCAA